UAAAGCAUUGUUCAUACAUUAAUACACAUUAGUAGGUCAUUCAUAAACAUAGUUAUAUGUAACCCUUAUCACGAGGUAGUAAUAAUGUACAUAGGUGUAAUAGUCUAAAGUAGUCUUAUCAAUGUGGACCAGAAUCAGAAUACACUAAAUUGUUAAGAGCCUGAGAAUUGAAUGUCAAUAAAAAGAAUACCACACCCGAAUGACAGUUUGCAU